UCUUAUUCUCCUAUUCUCUUCUUCUUCUCUUCUUCUUUACUUCUUCUCCUUCUUUUUUUUUCUUCUCUUCUUCUUCUUCUUCUUCUUCUUCUCCUUCUUCUCCUUCUUCUCUUCUUCUUCUUCUUCUUCUUCUUCUUCUUCUUCUUCUUCUUCUUCUUUUUCUUCUCCUCUUCUCGUCCUCCUCUUCUCCUCUUCUCCUCCUUCACCUAACUAACCAAGCUAACUAACUAACCUAACUAAAACUACUAACCUAACUAAAUCUACCACUAAAACCACUAACAAUAACAACUACUAAAACUACUAAAACUACUAAAAAAUAAUGCGGGUGGGGG
rnacentral:lncRNA from 1 species